GACGAACGCUGGCGGCGUGCUUAACACAUGCAAGUCGAACGCUGAAGCUCAGCUUGCUGGGUGGAUGAGUGGCGAACGGGUGAGUAACACGUGAGUAACCUGCCCUCUUCUUUGGGAUAACGCCCGGAGACGGGUGCUAAUACUGGAUAUUCACUGAUUCUCGCAUGGGGGAUGGUGGAAAGGUUUUUUCUGGUGGGGGAUGGGCUCGCGGCCUAUCAGCUUGUUGGUGGGGUGAUGGCCUACCAAGGCUUUGACGGGUAGCCGGCCUGAGAGGGUGACCGGUCACCUUGGGACUGAGAUACGGCCCAGACUCCUACGGGAGUCAGCAGUGGGGAACAUUGCACAAUGGGCGAAUGCCUGAUGCAGCGACGCCGCGUGAGGGAUGGAGGCCUUCGGGUUGUAAACCUCUUUCGCUCAUGGUCAAGCCGCAGCUUCGGGUUGUGGUGAGGGUAGUGGGUAAAGAAGCGCCGGCUAACUACGUG
rnacentral:rRNA from 1 species